UUUUCAUUUCUUCGAAUUCCCAACUGUCCACCUGACUUAAGUGGGUCCAAGCCCAUUUCAUAUUUUUACAAUAGCACUAGAGCAGUUAUCUGAACUAUAGGCCCAAGCACAAGCUUAGGGCUGGUGCAUAGAGUCUGGGCUUGGGCCUGUAGUAGCAUCCCUCCAAUUACUGUUAUCCCACAUUGUUCGGAUUCAAAUGAUAAGUUACCUUUAUAUUCAAGCACGCCACAAUAACCUAGCGUCCCUUCGGGGACAUCCGAUAAAAUUGGAACGAUACAGAGAAGAUUAGCAUGGCCCCUGCGCAAGGAUGACACGCACAAAUCGAGAAAUGGUCCAAAUUUUUUUUUAACUCUUUUGCCCCUGAAGUAUUCAUUUCUUUUUACCAAAACAUCCUUUUUAACUCCCUAAACUAGCCCCCUGCAUGCUUCUCCGCUGGCAACACCAGACACCUGCGCCAAACCUCGCUCUGCAACUUCGUUGUUCGUGCUUGUGUUCUUCGUGCUAACGGAGAACCUGUUCACUCCUCAGGAUCUUAGGCUUUCUGUGACGGUCAUUUGUCUUCCAGUGUUAAAGCGAACGCAAGUACACAACUUGCUUGAUGAAAUGCAUCUUAGAAUCUUGAAAAUGUGUCCUUUCUGCCGAGGCUAUGAAGUUCAAAUGGAAUUUGAUGGCAUAACGAUGCCUACUCCGAUCGCAAUUGCUACAUACUCUUGCAAUAAUAGUCUUUCAAAUUGGAUUCUCUCGGCCUCACCUAUUAUCUUGUUUUUGCAAAGGAAACAGCGACCGUGAUUUGUUCUCACUUGAGUGUUUCAAACUCAAAAGUAGAAAACUGUUUUUGUCUUUUGUGAAAGCAUGACAUUCAUAUGUGAAAUUUCUUAGAUUCGGUCCAAAUCAGAAAUCUUGAAGAAGGCAUAUAUUAAGAAAAGAAAAAUGUUAUCCAUAUCUCUAAUUUUGCAUCAUUUGCUUGGAUGUUUCUGUGACAUCCUUUUCUUUCAGCCAUCAGAGGACCCAAAUUCCAAUCCUUUCUCCCCACCCGAUAGGUUAAUGUAAGCUACUACCAGAGAUUAUGAGAUUAUUAACAUUUUCUUCGUCAGGCGACAGUUGACCUGGUCCUACGGGAUAAUUUGACUCAGCUAUAAGUUCUCCGUUCAAACCUCAGGCAAUUGAAAACUCAACUGGUUUGAAUACUGGGAUUGAUCAAAUGGGUUGUUGCAGCAUUUGAUUUUCUAUCCGUGAAUCAUGUGAUGGUUAAUUUGGUCAAGUCCUAUUUAAUUGGCUCGUUGGAGAUUUGCAUCAUUUAUCUCUACCGUUGAAAUGGAUGCUUACCAUAAAAAAAGAGUUAAGGGUAGCAGUUAGAUGUCUCCAGUGGGCCCACCUGGAGGACAAAAAAUUAUCAUUGUGUUAUUGUCAACGUGAUCAAAGAUACUAAAAUACCGGAAGUUUGCCAUUGGCGGAAAAUGAAACCGUCAAAGGCUAGGCUGUAUGUCAUCAACGAAGUUCGUAUCAAAGAUGUAGUAUAAAAUUAUAUUUGAAUCUCGAGGCUCGGUUUUUCUUGUUUUGUAUAAGAGAGGUAAGAAUUGAUACUGAGCCAACGUGUAAAACUCCUUACUUGGGUCAUUAUAAUCUUGCAAUUUUCAGCUGGCCUUGUCCUCUGCUCCCUCUCCUUUGCCUUUAUUAUUGAGUUUGUCCGUGGCUGUGCAUGUGCAUGAGUGCGUCGCUGGUGCUGCUCGGUAAUGGAAGCGUGGUGUGUAGAUUCUCUUAUCUUCUUUAUCUGCUAGUUUCAGCUAGCUUAUCUCUGCUCAACAAAGGACUGUUCCGGAUGAAGUGGCUGCUCUCAGCAAGAUGAUAGACUACUGGAACUUAAGAAGCAAAGGGAGUGAGUCUUAGCAUUGAACCUUGUACACUGAAUGCAUCAUGGGGUUUCCAUAUUGCGAAUCCCCCGUGUGGAUUGACUGAACUGGCAACUCCUGCCACAUCACUCACCUGUCGUUCUCCAUCAUCAUUUUCACCUUUUAUAUAUAUUCUUGUCUGGUGAAGAAAGUUUCCAAUUGCACUUGAUGCCAGAAGAUAUAUAUGCUUUAGGCAGGUAUAAUACUGAAAGAACUGUUUCUGCUGAAUCCUGAAAGUGCUGAUGGACUUGUGAAGAAUCGAUUCUUAAUUUUUUAGUAAUCCCUGUUGCUUUGAUGUGAUUGAGAUUUAAAAUAUUGUCCAAUGAUGCUGGAAUCUGAGUCAGAAUGUAUUGAGUGGACCCAAGGCUGAAAUUGCAUAAACAACCUGACAGGUGGAGUGCCUC